rnacentral:rRNA from 1 species
GACGUAGGUGGCGAACGUUAUCCGGAAUCAUUGGGCGUAAAGGGUGCGUAGAUGGCAUGAUAAGUUAUUAGUGGGAAAUCGAGGCUCAACCUCGUGGAAGCUAGUAAUACUGUUUUGCUUGAGUACAGAAGAGGUUAACGGAACUCCAUGUGGAGCGGUAAAAUGCGGAGAUAUAUGGAAGAACACCAAUAACGGCGAAGGCAGUUAACUAUUCUGUUACUGACAUUGAGGCACGAAAGCGUGGGGAGCAAAACGG